GGGGGGGGGGGUUCGGGCAGUGGUUCAAGUUAUGCGAAAUGAAGGUGGGCCUCACCAUAGGGCAAUCAACUGAUGGGGGGUCAGUUAACUGUAAAGGUUUCUCACAGCCUUCCCUCUGUCACAUUUUGUCGAGGUUAUUGGUAUUGCUGAUGGAAAUCAAUCAAUUCGUGCUGAAAUUUGCACUGACUUCGGUGAUACAUUUGAUACCUUAGCAUAUAAUGGGCUAUUGCCAGCUGCAAAUGGCAAAUUCAAGAACCUGUUCCUUUGAUGCAUCGGGGCUGGACUUGAUCCAAGAAGAUAGAAAUAUGUAGUCAUUCUGGCCUCCUAAUGAUGUAUAUUUCCUUUUAACAAGGGAUGGCAUCAACAGCCUAAUUUUGCAUGGAAGAACCUUAAAUGACUUGGUUUUUUCGAGGCCUCUAGCCAUCUUACUGUGGCAAAGAUUGCACUCUGGUCCUAGCCUGUGCAUACUGAUAUUAAAGUUCAAUUGAACUCUUUCUAGGUUUUCACUGUUUUCACUGAAUGAAAGCUUGUUGAUACUG